rnacentral:rRNA from 1 species
AUUGAACGCUGGCGGCAUGCCUUACACAUGCAAGUCGAACGGCAGCACGGGAGCAAUCCUGGUGGCGAGUGGCGAACGGGUGAGUAAUAUAUCGGAACGUGCCCAGUCCUGGGGGAUAACGUAGCGAAAGCUACGCUAAUACCGCAUACGAUCUAUGGAUGAAAGCGGGGGAUCGCAAGACCUCGCGCGAUUGGAGCGGCCGAUAUCAGAUUAGGUAGUUGGUGAGGUAAAGGCUCGCCAAGCCGACGAUCUGUAGCUGGUCUGAGAGGACGACCAGCCACACUGGGACUGAGACACGGCCCAGACUCCUACGGGAGGCAGCAGUGGGGAAUUUUGGACAAUGGNGCAAGCCUGAUCCAGCAAUGCCGCGUGCAGGAUGAAGGCCU